rnacentral:rRNA from 1 species
CCUACGGGUGGCAGCAGUGAGGAAUAUUGGUCAAUGGACGGAAGUCUGAACCAGCCAUGCCGCGUGCAGGAAGACGGUACUAUGUGUCGUAAACCGCUUUUGUACAAGGGCAAAGCCGAAUACGCGUAUUCAGCUGAGAGUACCGUACGAAUAAGGAUCGGCUAACUCCGUGCCAGCAGCCGCGGUAAUACGGAGGAUCCAAGCGUUAUCCGGAUUUAUUGGGUUUAAAGGGUGCGGAGGCGGUUGGAUAAGUUAGAGGGGAAAUGCCGGGGCUGAACCCGGGCCCUGCCUUUGAUACUGUAAGUCUAGAGUUGGAGAGCGGUAGGCGGAAGGUGUGGUGUAGCGGUGAAAUGCAUAGAGAGCGUGCAGAACACCGAUUGCGAAGGCAGCAUGCCGGCUCCACACUGACGCUGAGGCACGAAAGCGUGGGGAGCGAACAGGAUUAGAUACCCUAGUAGUC